UGUCCCCGUCGCCAGGCGGGCUUUCGGUCCAAGAGCAGACCCUGUCUAGGCCGUGUGCCUUCGGGGAUCCCCUGUGCCAGCGUCUCCCUCUCCUCUCCAGCUCACUCAGGACGCCAGCAUCUAAGUAGUGGCCUGGCAGGACGCGAAGGAUCAGGAACUCGCCCGUGGCCUGGGAAGGGAUCGGACGGCAGCAGAGCCCAGGGAGCAGCCAGAGCAGUUGUACUGGGAGGCCCCUGACUGCCAGGAGCCCCAGGGUCAAAUCCUGCAUUGGUCUCGACUUUCACCCCUGGCCAAGCAGCCAGCGAGGCACCAGCAGCACCACAAUGUCCCAGCCAGAAGGUGAGGAAGCUUUUGAAUACUGUGAUGUUACCAUCAACAGCCAGGAGAAGGUUUUGGAUGUGUACACACAGCUGGAGAAGCUUGGAGAGGGGAAGUUCGGGAUGGUGUACAGACUACAGGAAAAGGCCACCGGGAAGAUCCGGGCUGGGAAGUACUUCCGGACACGGACAGCCAAAGAGAGGCAGGCGGCUCAGGCAGAGGUGGAACUCAUGAACCUGCUGCAUCACCCACGUCUCGUGCAGUGUCUUGCUGCCUUCCAGAGCCCCAAGGAGCUGGUGAUGGUGAUGGAGUACAUCGCAGGCGGGGAGCUCUUUGAACGGAUUGUGGAUGACAACUUUGAGCACACAGAGCCCAGCAGCAUCCAGUACAUGAGGCAGAUCCUGGAGGGACUCCAGUACAUGCAUAGCCAGGCCAUUGUCCACCUGGACCUCAAACCUGAGAAUAUCGUCUGCGUCAGCACAAGCAGCCAUUGGCUCAAGAUCAUCGACUUUGGCCUGGCACAGAAACUGGUUCCAGGCAACCCUGUGAAGGUGCUGCACGGGACUCCUGAGUUUAUGGCUCCAGAAGUGGUCUCCUUUGAGCCCGUGGGGUUCACCACAGACAUGUGGAGCAUUGGUGUCAUCUGCUAUAUCCUGUUGAGUGGGGAGUCGCCCUUUCAGGGGGAUAAUGAUAUGGAGACAUUAAGCAACAUCACAGCUGCCCGGUGGGAGUUUGAAGAGGAGACCUUCUCAGAGAUCUCCCAGCAGGCCAAAGACUUCAUCAGCCAGCUGCUGCAGAAGGAUGCCCGGUGCCGGCUCUCCAGCAAAGAGGCUCUGUUGCACCCCUGGCUGCAGCAGCUGGUGCCCAGCAGCACAAAAGUGCUGUCAAAGGAGAGGAUUAAGCAGUUCCUGACUCGCCGCAAGUGGCAGCUGCAGACCAGCACAACAGCCCAGAGGAGGACCAAGCCUUUGCCCUUCCAUCCCAGCAGGGCCUCAGCUUCUCACAGCGAUUGACUGAUCAAGAGGAGGUGGAAGGUGGGAGCAUCUGUCUCCAGUGCCGCAUCGAAGGUGCCUCGGCUCUGGAGGUCAUCUGGCUCCAGGACUGCGCUCCCGUAGAGGACAGUCCCCGUGUCCACAUCAAGCGUGGGGCUGACGGGUGCUGCAGCCUCAUCAUCUCGGAGCUUGUGAUGGAGGAUGCAGGGCGGUAUGUGUGCAGGGCUGUCACUGCCACAGGAGAGGUGGAGACUAGUGCUAUGGUGGCUGUGCUGCCCCUAUGCAAGGCCACCUAGAGCUGGUGCCAGGGGACAAGGCCUUCUCUCAGCAGUGAGGUCUGCUGGGACUGGAGGAGAUUAUGGCCUAAUUCCCUCCUCUGCCAGGACUUGGUGGUUUGUCCGACUGUAGGCCCAGACCCCAGGACUACCCUCUGGUGGGCUGACCUCUGCUCCCUGUGUUUCACAAGGCCAAUAAAGCACUGAAGACUUCUGUAC